rnacentral:rRNA from 1 species
UUAACUUGGGAGUCAGAACAUGGGUGAUAAGGUCCGUGUUCGAAAGGGAAACAGCCCAGACCACCAGCUAAGGUCCCAAAAUAUAUGUUAAGUGGAAAAGGAUGUGGCGUUGCCCAGACAACUAGGAUGUUGGCUUAGAAGCAGCCAUCAUUUAAAGAGUGCGUAAUAGCUCACUAGUCGAGUGACACUGCGCCGAAAAUGUACCGGGGCUAAACAUAUUACCGAAGCUGUGGAUUGUCCUUUGGACAAUGGUAGGAGAGCGUUCUAAGGGCGUUGAAGCAUGAUCGUAAGGACAUGUGGAGCGCUUAGAAGUGAGAAUGCCGGUGUGAGUAGCGAAAGACGGGUGAGAAUCCCGUCCACCGAUUGACUAAGGUUUCCAGAGGAAGGCUCGUCCGCUCUGGGUUAGUCGGGUCCUAAGCUGAGGCCGACAGGCGUAGGCGAUGGAUAACAGGUUGAUAUUCCUGUACCACCUAUAAUCGUUUUAAUCGAUGGGGGGACGCAGUAGGAUAGGCGAAGCGUG